rnacentral:rRNA from 1 species
CGCGUAGGCGGUUCGCUAAGUCGGAUGUGAAAACUCUGGGCUUAACUCGGAAAGGUCAACUGAUACUGUGCGGCUAGAGUGCAGAAGGGGCAACUGGAAUUCUCGGUGUAGCGGUGAAAUGCGUAGAUAUCGAGAGGAACACCUGCGGCGAAGGCGGGUUGCUGGGCUGACACUGACGCUGAUGCGCGAAAGCCAGGGGAGCGAACG